rnacentral:tRNA from 1 species
GGAAAGUAAUCGUAUCCGGUGGUGCGGCUGGGCUUCAAACCCAGUUGGGUGUGUUAGACGCUCCUAGGUAGGUUCGACUCCUACUACUUUCCGCCA